rnacentral:rRNA from 1 species
CGUUGCAUACGGCUCAGUAACACGUGGCCAACCCACCCUCGGGACGGGGACAACCCCGGGAAACUGGGAUUAAUACCCGAUAGGCGAAGACUCCUGGAACGGGUCUUCACCCAAAAGGUGUUAGGAUCAUGCUUUUUAACAUCGCCCGAGGACGGGGCCGCGGCCGAUCAGGUAGUUGGCGAGGCAACGGCUCACCAAGCCUAUAACCGGUACGGGCCGCGGGAGCGGGAGCCCGGAGAUGGGCACUGAGACAAGGGCCCAGGCCCUACGGGGCGCAGCAGUUGCGAAAACUUGUCAAUGCACGAAAGUGUGAACGGGCUACCCCGAGUGCCGUCCGCUGAGGAUGGCUUUUCUCUGCUGUAAGAAGGCGGAGGAAUAAGGAGAGGGCAAGUCUGGUGUCAGCCGCCGCGGUAAUACCAGCUCUCCGAGUGGUAGGGAUGAUUAUUGGGCUUAAAGCGUCCGUAGCCGGCCUUCCAAGUCUUUCGUUAAAUCCAGCGAUUCAAUCGUUGGACUGCGGGAGAUACUGUUAGGCUAGGGGGCGGGAGAAGCCGACGGUAUUCUUGGGGUAGGGGUAAAAUCCUAUAAUCCCAGGAAGACCACCAGUGGCGUAGGCGGUCGGCUAGCACGCGCUCGACGGUGAGGGACGAAAGCUGGGGAGCGAACCGGAUUAGAUACCCGGUAGUCCCACGUACGACGGGCUAGGUGACGUACGACCUUCAUCCGCAGGAAGCCAUUAAGCCCCCGCCUGGGGAACGCCGCAGG